CUGGCUUUAGUCCCUUGGUCUGGACCUCUGUGGGUUCCCAGCUCUGUAAGUCCAACAGUACUGAUACUCUCUUGUCUUCUCUCUGGUCUUAUGACUGAUUUAUGUAGCUUAAACACAAACAUGACGUUUUCUGAAGAACAGUAUGGAAAUACAUUUCUGUAAACAUAUUCCAUAUUUUUUACAACUGCAGCAGACUUAUUACCUUACCCUUGCUGGGAGGAUGUUAGUGAGAGAGCUGGCAGUGUUAAACACACAGGUAACCAUGCAGAUUAUUGGACAAAGCUCAUUUUAUCUAACAGGAAGGAUUACCUUCAGUAUCCACUAUAGUAGUGAAAUACUUUGCUGUCUGUUCCCUCAUUUUCUCCCAGAUGUUCAUGAUGGAUCAGCCUGUUCUCAUCUGUUUCACUCCUGUUGGGAGGAUGGUGUGGGAGGAACUGUCUUCUCAAACUGAACAGCCAAAUAGUGAAGACUCUGGUUUUCCCUAUGAGAAGAUGCAGCUGGUUGGGAACUGGGGUUCAUUUCAUUUCCAUACCUGGAUAAUCCGUUAUGGACGAGUGCAGCAAAAUGAAGAGGACAUGCAUCACCUGUGCAUUGUGAGGGGAGUGGAGAAACAGCUGUGGUGGAGCAGAGUCAUUCAGGAAAAAAUCCUGGACCCAUGGGUGAGAGAUUCUCAACUGAUCUUUCAUCUCAAAUGCACCUGA
rnacentral:lncRNA from 1 species